AUUGAACGCUGGCGGCAGGCCUAACACAUGCGAGUCGAGCGGAUGAAGGGAGCUUGCUCCUGGAUUCAGCGGCGGACGGGUGAGUAAUGCCUAGGAAUCUGCCUGGUAGUGGGGGCUAACGUCCGGAAACGGGCGCUAAUACCGCAUACGUCCUGAGGGAGAAAGUGGGGGAUCUUCGGACCUCACGCUAUCAGAUGAGCCUAGGUCGGAUUAGCUAGUUGGUGGGGUAAAGGCCUACCAAGGCGACGAUCCGUAACUGGUCUGAGAGGAUGAUCAGUCACACUGGAACUGAGACACGGUCCAGACUCCUACGGGAGGCAGCAGUGGGGAAUAUUGGACAAUGGGCGAAAGCCUGAUCCAGCCAUGCCGCGUGUGUGAAGAAGGUCUUCGGAUUGUAAAGCACUUUAAGUUGGGAGGAAGGGCAGUAAGUUAAUACCUUGCUGUUUUGACGUUACCAACAGAAUAAGCACCGGCUAACUUCGUG
rnacentral:rRNA from 1 species